GCACUGCUGAGGAGUCCCACAAUAGGACGAAACAGCUGUCCAGUAU
rnacentral:hammerhead_ribozyme from 1 species